UACAAUUCUUAUGGUAAAAUACAGGUUAAAAAGCCAAGAAGAUGGACCUAGUCUACAACUUUGAGCAGAACUGAAAGGCUGAUUGAAAUGAAAAGAGUCCACAUAGGUAUAUAUCCCAAGAAGUGGGAUACAGUGUGCACCAUGUCAGCAGAACUUCAAAAGGGACUGAAAUCAUAUUCAGUGCAUAUAAAGUUCUUUCAGGGAUCUUAUAUGCUCGCACCACCCGAAGCUUAAGAGCCUGCCUGGUAUUCAUGGGAGAUAUCUGGCUAGCAAGAACAAACAUUUUUUGCUAUUCAAGAAGAAUCAGAGAGGCUUUGUAGAGGGAGAUUGUAUUUUGUAUUAAUAGUUGUACAUGCGUUGUAUAUAUAAGGUCUGAUGACCUUCGUUAUUGAUCGUAA